rnacentral:lncRNA from 1 species
AGACUGCUUUCUCAAGUGGCUUAGUGUCUCCACUCAGGGGUGGUGGAGCUCUUCUUCUCACUGCUUCUUCUCAUUUUUUUCAUGCUCUGGCCUAAUGUCUUGGUGGUAUUAGCCUAGCACAACUUCAGUUGCACUGCAGGUUCUUCAUAAAAUUGAAACACUGUUUCCAGAUUUGGAUUUUCUUCUGCUCUGCCAUGGGUUGUUCACAUUCUCUCAAGGUUGUUACUACUGUUUUACCUUUUUCUACUUGAUAAUUUUGGAAACCGGUAUGUGUGGGGAGACAAGGAUUGAUGGUGGUCUGGAUGUAAGCACUGAAGAACCACAGUAGUGUGAUGACCUUACAGAUUUGAUUCUAGUGAAGGAAUGGACUUUAAAAUCUUACCACUGUCAUUGGCCUUGAGAAACUUCUAAGUAAGUUAAACAGGCUUGAUGGAGGCCCUACAGUGACUAUUCAUUGGCUGAGCCUUUGGAUUAUCUUGGGAGGACCCUGAAAGAAUGACCUGGCCGGAAGAUUGUCCCAUCCUGCAUGAGAGUUACAUUAUCAAGUAAACAUCCUCCAAGUUCUGUUGGUGACAUUGUCCACAGAUGAUGCCCAAGCUUUUAUAUUUGUUAGAAAGCCUUCUAUUCACAAGGCAGAUGACUCGUGAGUCACAUGUACUCAGAUGACUUCUUGUUAACCAAUCACCUAAUGACAGAAGGAACCAAUCACUGGGAGGGAAGAAUGAGCCUCACUCUACACCCAGAAUGCCAACUACAUUUUCAUCCAGUCCUCAAAAAAUAUCAUGCGCACCCAGAUUCUCCUGGUCAGACCAACACUGUGGAAACCCACUGGAUGCAUUCAGAGGGAUCACUGAUAAUGAAGAAUGAGAUGCCGUCAUCCAUCUGUAGGAAGAUGCUGCGUGUGCCAUAGAACCCAAAAGUCAUCUAUUGCAAGAGAGAAUCGAUUCUCCCAAGUAAACGGGGCCCUAUUAGUUUAAAAACUAAUGCAGCACAGAGAGAAAUCAGGUUCCUCAGACAAUGUUGAUUCUGUUUCCUUUUGAACCAUUAACAGCCUCACUUAAAGCCAUGUAUUGAAAGCUGCGACUUAACGUUAACCACAGUUUCUAAUGCAUUAAACAAAUGGCAAGGAUGACUGUAGGUCAUAGCCCCCUCCCUUCACACAUUAUACGCAAAUGCUUAUCUACUGGGUAUUUAAAGGAGAAAAGUUACAUCUAAACUCACUCCAUAAUGUAUGCUUUCAGCGUGGGAUGCUAAGCAAGUUCUGAUUUUGCGAGCUCAGAGUCACGCUAAAUGCCGGGAAUACAGGUUUCUUCUCAGAAAGGGCGGGCGGCUUUGGCUAAUGUCCUGGGGGAUGUCUUCAAAAUGCAAAGUGUGUGUCUGACCAUGGCCAUGGCAGUCUCAAGUUCCUUUGCCAAGGACUUUGGGGAAAUUCUUCCUCAGGAAACUCACAUAGCGGGAAGAGCAAGAGAGUCACAAAUAGUGCUUAAACCUGGGGUCUAUACCUUUUAACUCUUCAAACAGACAACAGCAGUAAAAAGAGCUCUGCUGCCAGUCUUCAGAGUCUUAACUGAGUUGGAGGCGAACUAUUGUGAAGUAUAAUGUAGUUAGUGACUCUGAAGUUAGUCCACAGAAAGCCAUUCUUUUUAAAUGGACCUACACAACAAUUGCCCCGCACACAAACUGCACAUGCAAUAUUCAAAGCCACUGCUAGGUGCGUUGCUGAGUGCAGAGAGCUGUGCUCCCAGAACCAUCAAGUCAACACGCCAGCUGCUCAGCAUUAUUUACAAUAUAUUGGCUUCACCACUGACCUAAAGAGCUGAAGAAAAUAACAGGCCAUAUUUUCAGCUUGGUAAAAGCCUGCAGUGGGGAGCCCUUUCACAACAAUUACAAGCAUUUGCUCGGAAUGCAUUUGCUGAUUUAACAAACUGGAGAGGACAAAUGUUUAACAUGCUGUCGUGAGGCUGUUCAGUCGCUUUUCUUGGUAUCCGUUGAUCUGAGAUAAUGUGUUCUUGCCCAAUCAUGCUACAAAGAAGCAGCGGAAAUAAAUAAAUAAAUAGAUGUAAUGCGAUGCGUUCCCACAAUAGCUGAGCUGCUGACGGCCCCUGACAGAUGGAAAGAAAAAAAAAAAAAAGUCAAUAUGAUGUCUGAGACAGCCCAGGCUCGGCACUGCAGAAUAAAUUACAUGAUUCGCCGAAUGCUUGGGCCUCGCUCAGACAUUCAAAAAAAAAAAAAAUUGGAAAGAUAAAAGCUUGCAUUGGCUUCAGAUGAUAUUUACUGCUUGAUGGAUUUACUAGCAGCACCAGUACAGUCGUACUGUAUUGAAUUAUUGGCCUCUAUUUAGCUGUGUGUCUGUCGGCGCUCGAGUGUCCAUUUAAGCAUAAGUGAGCUGGAGACCUGCCAAGCCCCUUUGAGGCUCCGGGUGCAGAGAAAGACGCAGGCUAAUGGCCACCAGCUUGAAUAACAGGGAGUGUAAGGACAUUGGGGGAGGCAACAAAGCCCAGCUACAAAGUACUUGCUUAUCAAUAUUAAUGCCAAAAUAAAUAUUAAUGGAGGCUGCCCGGCA